GGAUGCGAUCAUACCAGCAUUAAUGCACCGGAUCCCAUCAGAACUCUGCAGUUAAGCGUGCUUGGGCGAGAGUUGUACUAGGAUGGGUGACCUCCAGGAAAUUCCUCGUGUUGCAUCCC
rnacentral:rRNA from 1 species